rnacentral:rRNA from 1 species
GAUGAACGCUGGCGGCGUGCUUAACACAUGCAAGUCGAACGGAGUUUCUGGAAAUAUUUCGGUAUUGAAGGGGACUUAGUGGCAAACGGGUGAGUAACACGUAGACAACCAACCUCGAGGAGGGGGAUAGCACGACGAAAGUUGGAUUAAUACCGCAUACAGCUAUUUAAUCGCAUGAAUAGAUAGUGAAAGAUUUAUUGAUAUAGGAGGAGUCUGCGGCACAUUAGCUAGUAGGUGAGGUAAGAGCUCACCUAGGCGACGAUGUGUAGCCGGUCUGAGAGGAUGAACGGCCACAAUGGAACUGAGACACGGUCCAUACUCCUACGGGAGGCAGCAGUGGGGAAUAUUGCACAAUGGGGGAAACCCUGAUGCAGCAACGCCGCGUGAGUGAAGAAGGUUUUCGGAUUGUAAAGCUCUGUUAGCAGGGAAGAGGAAGGACGGUACCUGCAGAGGAAGCCACGGCUAACUACGUGCCAGCCGCCGCAGUAA